GCAGCGCGGGGGCAACCCUGGCGGCGAGUGGCGAACGGGUGAGUAAUAUAUCGGAACGUACCCAAGAGUGGGGGAUAACGUAGCGAAAGUUACGCUAAUACCGCAUACGAUCUAAGGAUGAAAGCAGGGGAUCUUCGGACCUUGUGCUCCUGGAGCGGCCGAUAUCUGAUUAGCUAGUUGGUGAGGUAAAGGCUCACCAAGGCAACGAUCAGUAGCUGGUCUGAGAGGACGACCAGCCACACUGGAACUGAGACACGGUCCAGACUCCUACGGGAGGCAGCAGUGGGGAAUUUUGGACAAUGGGGGCAACCCUGAUCCAGCAAUGCCGCGUGAGUGAAGAAGGCCUUCGGGUUGUAAAGCUCUUUUGUCAGGGAAGAAAAGGGAGUGGCUAAUAUCCAUUCCUGCUGACGGUACCUGAAGAAUAAGCACCGGCUAACUACGUGCCAGCAGCCGCGGUAAUACGUAGGGUGCAAGCGUUAAUCGGAAUUACUGGGCGUAAAGCGUGCGCAGGCGGUUCCGUAAGUCUGUCGUGAAAUCCCCGGGCUUAACCUGGGAAUGGCGAUGGAGACUGCGAGGCUAGAGUUUGGCAGAGGGGGGUAGAAUUUCCACGUGUAGCAGUGAAAUGCGUAGAGAUGUGGAGGAACACCGAUGGCGAAGGCAGCCCCCUGGGUCAAAACUGACGCUCAUGCACGAAAGCGUGGGGAGCAAACAGGAUUAGAUACCCUGGUAGUCCACGCCCUAAACGAUGUCUACUAGUUGUCGGGUCUUAAUUGACUUGGUAACGCAGCUAACGCGUGAAGUAGACCGCCUGGGGAGUACGGUCGCAAGAUUAAAACUCAAAGGAAUUGACGGGGACCCGCACAAGCGGUGGAUGAUGUGGAUUAAUUCGAUGCAACGCGAAAAACCUUACCUACCCUUGACAUGGAUGGAAUCCCGAAGAGAUUUGGGAGUGCUCGAAAGAGAACCAUCACACAGGUGCUGCAUGGCUGUCGUCAGCUCGUGUCGUGAGAUGUUGGGUUAAGUCCCGCAACGAGCGCAACCCUUGUCAUUAGUUGCUACGCAAGAGCACUCUAAUGAGACUGCCGGUGACAAACCGGAGGAAGGUGGGGAUGACGUCAAGUCCUCAUGGCCCUUAUGGGUAGGGCUUCACACGUCAUACAAUGGUACAUACAGAGGGCCGCCAACCCGCGAGGGGGAGCUAAUCCCAGAAAGUGUAUCGUAGUCCGGAUUGUAGUCUGCAACUCGACUGCAUGAAGUUGGAAUCGCUAGUAAUCGCGGAUCAGCAUGUCGCGGUGAAUACGUUCCCGGGUCUUGUACACACCGCCCGUCACACCAUGGGAGCGGGUUUUACCAGAAAGUAGGUAGCUUAACCGCAAGGAGGGCG
rnacentral:rRNA from 1 species